rnacentral:tRNA from 1 species
GCCCCUGUGGCGGAACUGGCAGACGCGCUGGAUUCAAAAUCCUGUUCUAGCAAUAGAGUGUCGGUUCGACCCCGACCGGGGGCACCA